GCUCUCGGGUGACGAGUGGCGGACGGGUGAGUAAUGUCUGGGAAACUGCCUGAUGGAGGGGGAUAACUACUGGAAACGGUAGCUAAUACCGCAUAACGUCGCAAGACCAAAGAGGGGGACCUUCGGGCCUCUUGCCAUCAGAUGUGCCCAGAUGGGAUUAGCUAGUAGGUGGGGUAACGGCUCACCUAGGCGACGAUCCCUAGCUGGUCUGAGAGGAUGACCAGCCACACUGGAACUGAGACACGGUCCAGACUCCUACGGGAGGCAGCAGUGGGGAAUAUUGCACAAUGGGCGCAAGCCUGAUGCAGCCAUGCCGCGUGUAUGAAGAAGGCCUUCGGGUUGUAAAGUACUUUCAGCGGGGAGGAAGGUGUUGCGGUUAAUAACCGCAGCAAUUGACGUUACCCGCAGAAGAAGCACCGGCUAACUCCGUGCCAGCAGCCGCGGUAAUACGGAGGGUGCAAGCGUUAAUCGGAAUUACUGGGCGUAAAGCGCACGCAGGCGGUCUGUCAAGUCGGAUGUGAAAUCCCCGGGCUCAACCUGGGAACUGCAUUCGAAACUGGCAGGCUAGAGUCUUGUAGAGGGGGGUAGAAUUCCAGGUGUAGCGGUGAAAUGCGUAGAGAUCUGGAGGAAUACCGGUGGCGAAGGCGG
rnacentral:rRNA from 1 species